UACGGGGGGGGCAAGCGUUGUUCGGAAUUACUGGGCGUAAAGGGCUCGUAGGCGGCCAACUAAGUCAGACGUGAAAUCCCUCGGCUUAACCGGGGAACUGCGUCUGAUACUGGAUGGCUUGAGAUUGGGAGAGGGAUGCGGAAUUCCAGGUGUAGCGGUGAAAUGCGUAGAUAUCUGGAGGAACACCGGUGGCGAAGGCGGCAUCCUGGACCGACACUGACGCUGAUGCGCGAAAGCCAGGGGAGCAAACGGG
rnacentral:rRNA from 1 species